UAUAAGGAGGCAAUAAAGGACUGCACAGA
rnacentral:piRNA from 1 species